UAUCAUGACUAAUUUGUAAACCAAAAUUAGAAAUGUUUCACUCAAGAACUUAUCUUAAUCCCUCCAUCAUGCUCCAGUUGUGUGAGAUGGGCAAAAGGGCACUGACUCUUGGUGAUGUCCCUGUCUGCUCUCCCUUGGUGAGCCCAGGGACGACGCUGUGGUCGGCAUCCAACAGCUUAGUUACAAAGGGAUUUUGGUCGAUGGAAGUACUGGGAUCCGGGGUUAUAAUCCGACACGUUUAAACUGAGAUG
rnacentral:snoRNA from 1 species